rnacentral:rRNA from 1 species
AGUCGGACGGCAGCACAGAGAAGCUUGCUUCUUGGGUGGCGAGUGGCGAACGGGUGAGUAAUGCAUCGGAACGUACCGAGUAGUGGGGGAUAACUGUCCGAAAGGAUGGCUAAUACCGCAUACGCUUUGAGAAGGAAAGCAGGGGCUCUUCGGACCUUGCGCUAUUCGAGCGGCCGAUGUCUGAUUAGCUGGUUGGUGGGGUAAAGGCCUACCAAGGCGACGAUCAGUAGCGGGUCUGAGAGGAUGAUCCGCCACACUGGGACUGAGACACGGCCCAGACUCCUACGGGAGGCAGCAGUGGGGAAUUUUGGACAAUGGGCGCAAGCCUGAUCCAGCCAUGCCGCGUGUCUGAAGAAGGCCUUCGGGUUGUAAAGGACUUUUGUCAGGGAAGAAAAGGUUGUGGUUAAUACCCAUGACUGAUGACGGUACCUGAAGAAUAAGCACCGGCUAACUACGUGCCAGCAGCCGCGGUAAUACGUAGGGUGCGAGCGUUAAUCGGAAUUACUGGGCGUAAAGCGGGCGCAGACGGUUACUUAAGUCAGAUGUGAAAUCCCCGGGCUCAACCUGGGAACUGCGUUUGAAACUGGGUGACUAGAGUAUGUCAGA